CAACCACAGCUCAAAAUACCAAGAAAGGUCCCUUUAUACUGUAUAUGUUUUCCUCCAGUAGGCUAGAACAAGUCAAAAUAGUGCGAUAUACUUAGCGCGCACAACGGCUUGAAGCGGCUGUGUGUUUUCAAUGCUAUGCCUGAAGUGAGGGGAUACCGGCGUCUCCCUUAUCGCUGAAGUAGCCACUGUGACCCCACACCGUCCCGCACCUGUCCCUCUCGUGUCACAGGAGAAGCAGUGCGUCUCUCUCCUUAUAGGUCUGUGGGUUGGCGGGGUGAUGUGUGUACAGUGUGACUGGGAAAGGGACCUCGCUGUUUCGUAAUCACCCGCAGCCCCAUGGUGACAACAACCUCCCUACCCCACCCAGACCCCUGACUCAACCAAGCGCUCAAAUACCAGCAAGUACCAAGGGUUGAAUCGAACAGACUAGGGGGAGGGGGGCACAAAGUGAAGAUCAGCUUUGCAGCCAUGGAGAGUUUCUUCAAGGAUAAGAACAUCUGGAUACUGGGCGGUAUCUGUCUGGUAGCUUCUUUCCUCUGGCACAGGUUCUGGAGGUUAUUCACCUACAGAAGGGAGACUACCGCUCCACCCCAUGUACAGCUGAAAGACCACAAAGCCAAGGAUGGGAAGGAGAUAGCCUGUUUAAGCCUUAAGAGUCAGAAGACACAAAAGAAGAAGCCACCGGAUACAACAGACACCAUCUCCCUGAAGAAAAAGGCCCUGCUCUAUGAGGAGGUUCAGAAGCUCAAUCAGCAGAAUGCCGAGGCUGGAAGCCGGACAGAUGGUGAUGGUGACUUACUGGACUUCAUCUUGGAUGUACCCGUGGCCAGAACACAAGAGAAUGAACUGUCAGCCUCAGCAUUGCAGGUGGAGGAGGACAAGGGCUUGAAAGCAAUAUGGCCGCUGGAGAGUGUUGGGGUGGAAGAGGAAGAGGAGGUCUCUACGGAGUCGGAGGAAGUAGAGAAGGUGGUAAUAGGAGACAGAAUGGACAAGCAAAAGGAUUGUGGUCCUAUGAAAAAAGCACUGCCAGAGGCCAAGGUAGCUGAGAAAGAAGUGGAACCUCUUUUUCUAGAGAGGUAUGUUUCUCAAGCCUUAUCGUCAAGGAGGUUGUCAGGUAUAGA
rnacentral:lncRNA from 1 species